rfam:Paenibacillus dendritiformis C454 PDENDC1000141, whole genome shotgun sequence.
CAUGCUCAACCUGCGCCGGAUUAAUAAAAUGAACAUGCGUGUCGAUGCCCCCCGCCGUCACAAUCAGUCCCUCUGCGGCGAGAAUUUCCGUGCACGCCCCGAUAAUCAGAUCGACCCCAUCUAUAACGAGGGGAUUGCCGCUCUUCCCGAUGCCCGCGAUUUUCCCGUCGCGGAUCCCGAUAUCGGCUUUAUAGAUGCCGGUAUAAUCGACGAUAAUCGCAUUCGUGAUCACCAGAUCCAUCGCGCCCUCAUCGCGGGUAAUCAGCGGAUGCUGGCCCAUGCCGUCGCGGAU